rnacentral:rRNA from 13 species
CAAAAAAGAAAGAAAGAAAGAUAAAGAAAAAGAAAAGGAAGAAAAAGAAGAAAAAGACGAAGAAGCAUCCCCAAAAAAAGAGAAAAAGAAGAAGAAAAGAGAAAAAGAAGAAGUGAAGGGUCUU